AGCAGGUGAAACAGUGCCCCUCUUGUCUCUGCAUGUGUAGGCCAUCUAUCUGAUGCUGUCUGGUCAUAAGGAGUACGAUAUUGUUGCCACCGGUGCAUUGAAUGCAAGGGAAGCAAAAGAGCAUUUGACCUCCCUUGAUAAAAUAAAAAAUAUAAAAUAAUAGUUUAGCUCAAGUGUGAAUAGUCCUGGCGCAGCAAACACAUCGCAUUAAGACAAAUACGUCAUUGACAGAAACAACUUGAGUUGUUGCAUUUGGUGUUGUCCUCCGGUGGCUAGCUAGCUACAAUUGUCCAUUUCCUAAAUUAGCCAUGGAUUGAGAUAGGGAUGAUUAUAAAGGCGAUUCUGAUCCAACCAUAAAUUCAUACAUUGUUCACCUGGACUGAGAGAACAGAAUUUCAAUAUGUAGCUAGAUGUAGAAGGCUGAUGUUAACUAGCUAACGUUGCCCAUGAAAGUAAGUUAGGCAAGCAAGCAUUUUAGCCAGGUUGCCUAAAACAACAACACAAAUAAAUGUGUACUGUAUGACAGAGGAAUAGACUGUUUCGUCAACAUGAAAGAGGAUGGGAGGUAGGUUAAGAGGCAGGGACCUCAUUUAUAAAAUUGUUCUUAGAUUUAUACUUAGUCAUAAGAUCAUUUCUGACGUGUGCUUACAUUCGAUUCAUAAAAAAUACUGAGCAUAAAAAAACCUUGCUUAUGCAGAUUCUAAGAAGCCCAUUUGUAAUUUACACACCUGUGAUCUAUAAAUCUCAGAUUAUUUUAAAAUGUACGGCACCUGAACGCGCCUUACAAUCAGCAAUGUCCCCUUAUAGAAUGCUAGCACAAAUGAGGGUUUAGUCAGGAAUAGCCAUGAACCAAAAGAGAAAAGCUAAAUGUUUGGGAAGACGAGAUCACGGCGAUGGUAGAGGAGAUUGAAGACAGGCAACACACAUUACUCGGUGGACUAAAUAGUGGGUAGACAAACAAAGCUAAACAGGUAGCUUGGGAGUGUGUCGCGGCUGCAGUGAACGACGUGGGCAGCAAGACAGAACUGUAGCUGAUGGGAAAAAUAAAUGGUCUGACAAACUGCAAGGGGGGGGAAAUAGCCAUAUAUAACCGCAGCAUUAAGGCAAUGGGAGGGGGGUCUGGCACGCCGGAGCUCUCCAAAAUGGACCGGCGCAAGCAUUGGGGAAAGCGCAUACACUGGCACAUGCUCCAACGGCUACAGUGAAUGUUUCAAAAAAGGUGUUUCUUCUAUUUUUCAUAUGGUUUAAUCCCAACUUUAACAUCGUUUAGCAGUAACAUUCGAAACGGUGAAGUCGGCGCGAAACCCCCACGACUGGAUCACGGUAAGUAAUUAAGGGAACAUUCCAGGCAUUCCCGUGAUUGACAGAUAGCAGGUUGAUUGGCAUGUCGGACCCGCGAACACUGGGUACUGAAACGGGGGAAGCUGCUUUGCAGCUCAUGCGACGGGUGAGUGUGCCCAAUCCACCAAGGGAAGCUGCGUUGCAGCCCGUGCGCCCUGCACCCAGAGAUAAAGUGCAUGAGGGUCCCAAAUCAGCAGGUGCCAGAAGUAAGGGGGGAGUUUGGCACAGGUGUCGAGGGUCCGUCUGCGUCCAUGCGCCAGGAUGAAGUCCGUGAGGCGAUUCAUUUACAUAAUGCAACUGAACGUUUUCCACAACGUGAAUAAAAAAACCUAUGCUUUGUAUAUUGUUUGGCAUUCUGUUUCUUACGCCAAUAUCUGUAUGACCUGCCGCCUCCUCAGUCCAUCAGCCGGGGCAGGUGCUCCAUUGGGUGGUGGGUUAGGAGACUCUUGGGGGUCCAUUUUAAUCUCCGCAUCCAUUUCAAUACCAUGCCUCAGGGCUAUGUUGUGCCGCACCCUACAUUUCAG
rnacentral:lncRNA from 1 species